CCUACGGAGGGCUGCAGUGGGGAAUAUUGGACAAUGGGGGCAACCCUGAUCCAGCCAUGCCGCGUGUGUGAAGAAGGCCCUCGGGUUGUAAAGCACUUUCAGUGAGGAAGAACGCCUGGUGGUUAAUACCCAUCAGGAAAGACAUCACUCACAGAAGAAGCACCGGCUAACUCCGUGCCAGCAGCCGCGGUAAUACGGAGGGUGCGAGCGUUAAUCGGAAUUACUGGGCGUAAAGCGCGCGUAGGUGGCUUGAUAAGCCGGUUGUGAAAGCCCCGGGCUCAACCUGGGAACGGCAUCCGGAACUGUCAAGCUAGAGUGCAGGAGAGGAAGGUAGAAUUCCCGGUGUAGCGGUGAAAUGCGUAGAGAUCGGGAGGAAUACCAGUGGCGAAGGCGGCCUUCUGGACUGACACUGACACUGAGGUGCGAAAGCGUGGGUAGCAAACAGGAUUAGAUACCCCAGUAGUC
rnacentral:rRNA from 1 species